rnacentral:rRNA from 1 species
GGCGAACGCUGGCGGCGUGCUUAACACAUGCAAGUCGUACGGUAAGGCCCUUUCGGGGGUACACUAGUGGCGAACGGUUGCGUAACACUUGAGUAACCUUCCCACUCCUUUUGUAUAACGCUAGUAACCUGGUGCUACUACUGGUUAUGUCCUCCUCCUGCUUGGUGUGGGUUCGAAAGCUCCGGCGGUUGUGGAUGGUCUCGCGGCCUAUAAGCUUGUUGGUGGGGUAGUGGGCUACCAAGGCGACCACGGGUAGCGGGACUGAGAGGGUGACCGGCGAUAGAGAGACUGAGGGAAGGCACAGACGCCGAAGGGAGGAAGAAGGGGGGAAGAUUGAACAAGGGGCGCAAGCCGGAUGAAGCAAGGCCGCGGGUGGGAUAACGGUCUUCGGGUUGAAAAAAGGCUGCAGCAGGGAAGAAGCUUUUUGUGACGGUACCUAAAGAAGAAGCACCGGCUAACUACGUG